GGUCCCAUAGCUCAGUUGGUUAGAGCGUCGUACUAAUAUCAUCCUAUGUCGGAUAGCUAGGAAAUAUUAAGUAAAUGCGAAGGCCGAGAGUUCAAGCCUCUCUGGGACCA